UAAAGCAAAUGUGCACCAGUGAGGAGAAUCUGAUUAACUCACUGAUGUUCCAGUCCAAGCAGCUAUCAGCCAAGGACAUAAAGCUGUCAAAUUGCAUGAAUGAAAUCAUUUCUCAUGUGGAAGAAAUUUCCAAACUUGCCUUCAUAACAAAGUAAAUUGGAGAUUCAUUGUUGGUUUGGAACAGAUGUCAGCAGCACUAAACAACCUUCAUUCCCAUCACUUAUGAUGCUCCUGUGCAAUGUUCUGAAGAUAAACAGAAAUGUUAAAAUAGAAUCCAUUUUGUGGCUACAACAGCCACUUUUGUCCUGGCACUU